UGAACGCUGGCGGCGUGCCUAAUACAUGCAAGUCGAGCGAACAGACGAGGAGCUUGCUCCUCUGACGUUAGCGGCGGACGGGUGAGUAACACGUGGAUAACCUACCUAUAAGACUGGGAUAACUUUGGGAAACCGGAGCUAAUACCGGAUAAUAUAUUGAACCGCAUGGUUCAAUAGUGAAAGACGGUUUUGCUGUCACUUAUAGAUGGAUCCGCGCCGCAUUAGCUAGUUGGUAAGGUAACGGCUUACCAAGGCGACGAUGCGUAGCCGACCUGAGAGGGUGAUCGGCCACACUGGAACUGAGACACGGUCCAGACUCCUACGGGAGGCAGCAGUAGGGAAUCUUCCGCAAUGGGCGAAAGCCUGACGGAGCAACGCCGCGUGAGUGAUGAAGGUCUUCGGAUCGUAAAACUCUGUUAUUAGGGAAGAACAAAUGUGUAAGUAACUAUGCACGUCUUGACGGUACCUAAUCAGAAAGCCACGGCUAACUACGUG
rnacentral:rRNA from 1 species